UCCCUGGUGGUCCAGUGGUUAAGACUCUGAGCUCCGAAUGCAGGGGGCCCAGGUUCAAUUCUUGGUCAGGGAA